rnacentral:rRNA from 1 species
ACUCCUACGGGAGGCAGCAGUGGGGAAUUUUGGACAAUGGGCGAAAGCCUGAUCCAGCAAUGCCGCGUGUGUGAAGAAGGCCUUCGGGUUGUAAAGCACUUUUGUCCGGAAAGAAAUCCUUGGCUCUAAUACAGUCGGGGGAUGACGGUACCGGAAGA